AUGCCGGACUUGCGUUGUGUUAGCGAUGGCGACUACGUGAUAGUGAAUGGAUCUGUAAAGGCUGAAGGUUGCAUGAAACACAUUCGGGUGUACACGCUGAGCAUGGUGACAAACUACAAUGCAAUCACUCAUCACUUCCUCCAGUGCAUAUAUGUUCACUUGGAUCUUCAGAAAAAGUACAAAGACAAGAAAGAUGAUGUUAGACGGAUAGACUUGGCUGUAGCUGCGCACGAGCAAUCAUCUUUGAGUUCGGACACCACCAACAGGCUCUUCGACGACGUGCUGCGAGUGUUCUACCAUCCAGGGAUUCUUGAGCUAGAGAAUGGCGCUUCAUUCACUCUGAUCCAAUCUCAAACCGGCGCCGAUGUGGAGCAACUUAGGUCUGUUAUUGGAGCUCAUGUUGCUAUGGGCAACCUUUUCACCACCGUCGAUGAUGAUCACUACAAGUGCUCGUUCAAUGGGUAG
rnacentral:rRNA from 1 species